AGUGAACGCUGGCGGCAGGCCUAACACAUGCAAGUCGAACGGCAGCACAAGAGAGCUUGCUCUCUGGGUGGCGAGUGGCGGACGGGUGAGGAAUGCAUCGGAAUCUGCCCAUUUGUGGGGAUAACCUCGGGAAACCGGGACUAAUACCGCAUACGACCUACGGGUGAAAGCAGGGGAUCUUCGGACCUUGCGCAGAUGGAUGAGCCGAUGCCGGAUUAGCUAGUUGGAGGGGUAAAGGCCCACCAAGGCGACGAUCCGUAGCUGGUCUGAGAGGAUGAUCAGCCACACUGGGACUGAGACACGGCCCAGACUCCUACGGGAGGCAGCAGUGGGGAAUAUUGGACAAAGGGCGCAAGCCUGAUCCAGCCAUGCCGCGUGUGUGAAGAAGGCCUUCGGGUUGUAAAGCACUUUUGUUGGGAAAGAAAAGCAGCCGGUUAAUACCCGGUUGUCAUGACGGUACCCAAAGAAUAAGCACCGGCUAACUUCGUG
rnacentral:rRNA from 1 species